UACGAAGGGGGCUAGCGUUGUUCGGAAUUACUGGGCGUAAAGCGCGCGUAGGCGGACAUUUAAGUCAGGGGUGAAAUCCCGGGGCUCAACCCCGGAACUGCCUUUGAUACUGGGUGUCUCGAGUCCGGAAGAGGUGAGUGGAAUUCCGAGUGUAGAGGUGAAAUUCGUAGAUAUUCGGAGGAACACCAGUGGCGAAGGCGGCUCACUGGUCCGGUACUGACGCUGAGGUGCGAAAGCGUGGGGAGCAAACAGG
rnacentral:rRNA from 1 species